UCGAGUACCAACCACGUUAAGAAUAUUGCGUAGGCCUUUGCUUCGAAAGAAACACUUUACUGUUCGCAGCAAUCUCCUCCGCAAUAUUUUUUGAUGAAUUUGGUUAAAAUUGAG
rnacentral:pre_miRNA from 1 species